UCAGAUUGAACGCUGGCGGCAUGCCUUACACAUGCAAGUCGAACGGCAGCACGGGGGCAACCCUGGUGGCGAGUAGGCGAACGGGUGAGUAACAUAUCGGAACAUACCCUAGAGUGGGGGAGUAACGUAGCGAAAGUUACGCUAAUACCGCAUACGAUCUAAGGAUGAAAGUGGGGGAUCUUCGGACCUCAUGCUUAUGGAGUGGCCGAUAUCUGAUUAGCUAGUUGGUGAGGUAAAGGCUCACCAAGGCGACGAUCAGUAGCUGGUUUGAGAGAACGACCAGCCACACUGGAACUGAGACACGGUCCAGACUCCUACGGGAGGCAGCAGUGGGGAAUUUUGGACAAUGGGGGCAACCCUGAUCCAGCAAUGCCGCGUGAGUGAAGAAGGCCUUCGGGUUGUAAAGCUCUUUUUGUCAGGGAAGAAACGGUGAGUUCUAAUACAGCUUGCUAAUGACGGUACCUGAAGAAUAAGCACCGGCUAACUACGUG
rnacentral:rRNA from 1 species